CCGAGUUACAACUCCCAAACCCAUGUGAACCAUACCUAAACGUUGCCUUCGGCGGGGUCACCACCCUCGCACCUAACCUCGAGGGCCCCGCCAGAGGACCCAAACCAAACUCUUGCUGUUUUGUCCUUACAACGGAACUUUCUGAGCUGGAUUUAUAAAUUCAAAUUCA
rnacentral:misc_RNA from 1 species